rnacentral:lncRNA from 1 species
AUUACAACUAGUUACCAUUCUCUGUAUUUAACCCAGCUAACUACGUAUAGGAAACUAAAAUUUAUUGGAGAGAUUCUCAGAACCAUACUAGAAACAUUACCGAGGUCUCAUCUAGUUUUCUCUAUUGCCUUCCAAGGUUUCUACUGUACAAUUUCUCAUUGAAAACUGCCUCAGCAUUUUUUAAGAAGACAUCACUUCCCCCUUGGGGAAGAAAGAACUCAACGACUUGAAGAAACAGUGAUGCUUCAGGUACCUUGAAAAAUUCAGCUGGUUUUGAUGAGAAACAGUCAAUGGGGCUGUUAGGGGUCCUGGCGGAUGCUUAGGCAGUGGCUGUCCUGGAUUCCAGGGAAUGCCCCAAACCCAGUGAUGCAGGACCCAGGACUCCAUCUGCUCAUUCUUCAUAAGGUUGGCUCACAGGUCAUCUGCUGAGAAGGUCAUCUUCUCCGUCUUCACUGGGCUCACUGAAUGAGGACAUUCCAAGAUCCCAGCUCAUCUCAUUUGAGCUUUCCUUUUCCUAAUCCCAUGCAUCUGUGUUUGAGAAAAUCUUCCCAAGUGAUAGAUCUUCUAUUUUCCGAUUUCUUCCAUGUUGUAUUACUUUUUUAUUAAUAAUAAUAAAUACACAUAUUUUUGGUGUGUACAUGCA